CCCACCCACAGGAUGAAGCAGAGCUCAGAAGGUAGCUCGCAUUGUUUUAAACUCGACAACAUGGGCCGUGUUUCUGCACUAUAAAAUGUCACCUCGCUUGAAACCCGUAACACAGAAGAGGAAAAAAAAAAAGAAGCAUAAAAUAUCACAAGCCUCUCAGGACCACCGUCGGUCAGUCGACGAGCCGCUCGAGCUCUUUAUUUGCUUUUGUUAUUUGUUCAGCGCACAAAAUAGAAACACAAAAUGCUAUCAUUUCCUUUCCACAAACAAAUACGCCGUCUCCGGGGCUACGGAGGCUGCACGAAGAUAUCCGAGAUAAGCUUGGUAUAACAGAGGGAAAGAUUUCUCUUCUCUGUGUGUGUGUGUGUGUGUGGCUCUACAGUAAGUCGAGGGCAAGGCUGUAAAAAAAAAAACAACGUAUUUUUUCACUCGAAUGUCACGAACCGACGUUUACGUACGGAUAACGGCAGACGAUACAAUUUAUCAGAUCCGACUAUUCCUGCGAGUCUCAACUGAAUAUAUAUUUCAAGGCCGUUUCGGUUGCCAUGAACUUUGUGUUCUCUGAUUAAAGUCGGAUUUGAGUCGUAUUCGAUCCACGACCUCGGAAGUGCAACAUUAACGACGAUAACGUCUCUUAAAACGAGGAUACAGACGUAGCUAAUUGUUAUGUUAGUUCCUGUUAUGUUAGUUAUAUUAUUAUGAGUCAUAAAACAUGAAAUGUUCCCUGAGUUUAUUGGCUGGUGGCCGGUAGGGUAAGAAAAAGGACACACCAAUCAGAAUCAGGCAUUUUUUAAAUCUAGCUACGGUCAUGAAGGUGUAUGCAGGAGAAUAGGAUCUGUUUUUAUUUAAUACCAAAUGUCAUAAUCUGUGGGGGAAACAGUCAGUUAUUGGAACAGUCAGUCAGUCAGUGAAGGUUUCGUAUUUACUAGCUACUCUCCUGGAUGUCUCCAGGAUGUCACGGACAAUCCGCAUUGUUCUUGGUGAAAGGACGAGCUCAGCAUUCAGCAUCUGCUUUUGUAACUACUCUUUCUGUGCAUUCGGAAUAAGGCAGGAAACUGCGUGUAAAUCAGCACUUCUGAAAUAAUUCACAGAAACAGGAUGGAGCUGAGCUCAGAAACACGGCACAGGAUGAGCUACACGUGAUAAAAGUCAAACAGAUAGGAUGCAGGUCAGAAAGCUGACGACUGCAGCAUCCUUGGCACAAGAAACAGGAAUCAGAACUUUACCAGCGCGGCGAGGCGGUCUUUCAUCUUACAGCGCAUUUUCCGGUCUGCGUCCACCAGCGAGGAGAUCAGGAUGUUCAGCAUGUCGGCGGUUUGUUCCACAAGAAGAUCUCACACGGUUAAUUCUCUCUCAAGCCUCCAGACCGAAGACACGACUGUAAAUACGGGAUGUCGGCGGAAAGACGCCUCCGGUCAGUGCAGAGGCAUAGAGACGGGGAGACGGAGUGACGGAGAGACAGAGUGACAGAGAGACGGAGAGACAGAGUGACGGAGAGAAGGAGAGAAAGAUUGACAGAGUGACAGAGAGACGGAGAGACAGAGCGAGUGACGGAGGAAUCGGAUCAAAAGCAGCUUUGUCCUGUUUCUCAGUAAACAACACAAACACACUGGGAGUCAAACAUUAGGCCUCGGAGCUCAGGUCCAAAUAAAAAGACAAACGUGAGCUCAGUGUUGGUUACGCUCGUGUUACAAUAACCCCCGAACACGUCAGAGGAAGUGUGCGGUUUGGAGCGAGCGCUCGCCGAGGUCACGUAGCUGCAGCACGAGGUCAGGGGGUGGAGUUAGGAAGAGGAGCGAGAAGUGUGACGGAGAACCGUAAACACCGAGAUCUGAGCCUUCUGAGAUCGGACCGUCUGAUUAUUAUUAAAGAGCUUAGAGGAGAGAAGGAAUUGUUGAUUUAUUUCCUGUAGCAGCAGAUCUGUGCAGCUGAUAUGGUAUCGUUACUAUAGCAACAGCUCAUUCACAGAGCCUUGUUCGUCUUAAUUAAAAACAGAUUAAAAAAAAAUAUUUUCAAAAUUUUCUUUCUUUCUUUCUUUCUUUCUUUCUU